CGCCAGGAGCAGCGCUGGGUACCUAUGUCUGGAGAGGAUAAGCGCUGAAAGCAUCUAAGCGCGAAACCCACCUCAAGAUAAGGUUUCCCACCCAUUUGAAGGGUGAGAUGUGAGAGGUAAAUAAUCUCACACCUCCUACAUCUCACCUUUCGGUGGGGUAAGACCCCUGGUAGACUACCAGGUAGAUAGGCCAGAAGUGUAAGCCGGGUGACCGGUUAAGCGGACUGGUACUAAUAGGUCGAGGACUUGACCUU
rnacentral:rRNA from 1 species